GACGAACGCUGGCGGCGUGCUUAACACAUGCAAGUCGAACGGAAAGGCCCUGCUUUUGUGGGGUGCUCGAGUGGCGAACGGGUGAGUAACACGUGAGUAACCUGCCCUUGACUUUGGGAUAACUUCAGGAAACUGGGGCUCAUACCGGAUAGGAGCUCCUGCUGCAUGUUGGGGGUUGGAAAGUUUCGGCGGUUGGGGAUGGACUCGCGGCUUAUCAGCUUGUUGGUGGGGUAGUGGCUUACCAAGGCUUUGACGGGUAGCCGGCCUGAGAGGGUGACCGGCCACAUUGGGACUGAGAUACGGCCCAGACUCCUACGGGAGGCAGCAGUGGGGAAUAUUGCACAAUGGGCGGAAGCCUGAUGCAGCAACGCCGCGUGCGGGAUGACGGCCUUCGGGUUGUAAACCGCUUUCGCCUGUGACGAAGCGUGAGUGACGGUAAUGGGUAAAGAAGCACCGGCUAACUACGUG
rnacentral:rRNA from 1 species